AGCUCCCUGGUUUGUUGGCCAGUCGGUGAUGUCCCUGAGCCGAUACGCACAACCACUGGGGGUUGUGAGCUGGGGCCGGUGUGCAUGUCCGCCUGACGGAAAGCCUUAACGCCUCCUGCAACCUCCACCUUGAACUUUCGGGUUCAAGGGCUAACCCGACAGCGGCAUAACCGGGGAGUCA
rnacentral:other from 1 species